CCUACGUGUGGCAGCAGUGAGGAAUAUUGGUCAAUGGGCGCGAGCCUGAACCAGCAAAGUAGCGUGAAGGAUGACUGCCCUACGGUUUGUAAACUUCUUUUAUAAAGGAAUAAAGUGAGGCACGUGUGCCUUUUUGUAUGUACUUUAUGAAUAAGGAUCGGCUAACUCCGUGCCAUCAGCCGCGGUAAUACUGAGGAUCCGAGCGUUAUCCGGAUUUAUUGGGUUUAAAGGGAGCGUAGAUGGGUUGUUAAGUCAGUUGUGAAAGUUUGCUGCUCAACCGUAAAAUUGCAAUUGAUACUGGCAGUCUUGAGUACAGUUGAGGUAGGCGGAAUGCGUGGUGUAGCGGUGAAAUGCGUAGAUAUCACGAAGAACUCCGAUUGCGAAGGCAGCUUACUAAACUGCCACUGACAUUGAUGCUCGAAAGUGUGGGUAUCAAACAGGAUUAGAUACCCGAGUAGUC
rnacentral:rRNA from 1 species